rnacentral:rRNA from 1 species
AAUAGGACUGCGGUUCUAUUUUGUUGGUUUCUAGGACCGAAGUAAUGAUUAAUAGGGAUAGUUGGGGCCGUUUGUAUUCCGUUGUCAGAGGUGAAAUUCUUGGAUUUAUGGAAGACGAACUACUGCGAAAGCAUUUACCAAGGAUGUUUUCAUUAAUCAAGAACGAAAGUUAGGGGAUCGAAGAUGAUUAGAUACCAUCGUAGUCUUAACCAUAAACUAUGCCGACUAGGGAUUGGCGGUCGUUUGUUCAUGACUCCGUCAGCACCUUUCGAGAAAUCAAAGUCUUUGGGUUCCGGGGGGAGUAUGGUCGCAAGGCUGAAACUUAAAGAAAUUG